UUCUUAAUGAAAUAAUUUUAAGUAAUGCCUGCUCAAUGAAUAUUAAAUAGCCGCAGAAAUUUAACUGUGCUAAGGUAGCAUAAUCAUUAACCCUUUAAUUAAGGGCUAGUAUGAAUGGUAAUACAAUUUAUUUUCUAUAAUUUUUAAUUAUUUUUAACUUUAAUUAAGAAUAAAAAUGUUCUUAUUAUUAAAAUAGACGAUAAGACCCUAUUGAAUUUUACUUUUGUUUAGCUGGGGCAGCUAAAAAAAAAUAAUCUUUUUUUAUUUUAUUAAAUAAAUAGACCCAAUAUAAUUGAGUAAAUGAAAAAAUUACCAUAGGGAUAACAGUGUAAUAUCUUUCUAAAGCUCUUAUUUAAAAAGAAGAUUGCAACCUCGAUGUUGAAUUAAUGUUCCUUUGUAAACGCAGUAGUUUACAAAGUAGGUCUGUUCGACCUUUAAAACAUUACAU
rnacentral:rRNA from 1 species